UACGGGGGGGGCAAGCGUUGUUCGGAAUUACUGGGCGUAAAGGGCUCGUAGGUGGCCAACUAAGUCAUACGUGAAAUCCCUCGGCUUAACCGGGGAACUGCGUCUGAUACUGGAUGGCUUGAGGUUGGGAGAGGGAUGCGGAAUUCCAGGUGUAGCGGUGAAAUGCGUAGAUAUCUGGAGGAAUACCGGUGGCGAAGGCGGCAUCCUGGACCGACAUUGACGCUGAGGAGCGAAAGCUAGGGGAGCAAACGGG
rnacentral:rRNA from 1 species